rnacentral:rRNA from 1 species
CUACGGGUCGCUGCAGUGGGGAAUAUUGCACAAUGGGCGCAAGCCUGAUGCAGCCAUGCCGCGUGUAUGAAGAAGGCCUUCGGGUUGUAAAGUACUUUCAGCGGGGAGGAAGGGAGUAAAGUUAAUACCUUUGCUCAUUGACGUUACCCGCAGAAGAAGCACCGGCUAACUCCGUGCCAGCAGCCGCGGUAAUACGGGGGGUGCAAGCGUUAAUCGGAAUUACUGGGCGUAAAGCGCACGCAGGCGGUUUGUUAAGUCAGAUGUGAAAUCCCCGGGCUCAACCUGGGAACUGCAUCUGAUACUGGCAAGCUUGAGUCUCGUAGAGGGGGGUAGAAUUCCAGGUGUAGCGGUGAAAUGCGUAGAGACCUGGAGGAAUACCGGUGGCGAAGGCGGCCCCCUGGACGAAGACUGACGCUCAGGUGCGAAAGCGUGGGGAGCAAACAGGAUUAGAUACCCCGGUAGUC